rnacentral:lncRNA from 1 species
UUAGGAUUUUUUUCACCUUUCCUUCUGCUAAUAACCAUUAUGUAUUUAGUUAUGUAAAAUGAAUUUCCACAUAACAUGUUAACAUUUUGGUUCUUUAAUCCAGCAUUAAGAACCAAGUCUAAGUAUAUCAGUGUAUAGAAGAAACCUGCAUAAAAAGAAUUCAUGUAUGACUCUCAAGUCUCACCUCAGUUUGUAUGUGAACUAAUUCAUGUUGUAAUUUCUUGCCUUUUUAUCAUAAUGUCUGGAGGAAGCAGGGCAUGGUUUCAAAUUUAC